rnacentral:rRNA from 1 species
GAUCAUGGCUCAGGACGAACGCUGGCGGCGUGCCUAAUACAUGCAAGUCGAACGCUUCUUUUUCCACCGGAGCUUGCUCCACCGGAAAAAGAAGAGUGGCGAACGGGUGAGUAACACGUGGGUAACCUGCCCAUCAGAAGGGGAUAACACUUGGAAACAGGUGCUAAUACCGUAUAACAAUCAAAACCGCAUGGUUUUGAUUUGAAAGGCGCUUUCGGGUGUCGCUGAUGGAUGGACCCGCGGUGCAUUAGCUAGUUGGUGAGGUAACGGCUCACCAAGGCCACGAUGCAUAGCCGACCUGAGAGGGUGAUCGGCCACAUUGGGACUGAGACACGGCCCAAACUCCUACGGGAGGCAGCAGUAGGGAAUCUUCGGCAAUGGACGAAAGUCUGACCGAGCAACGCCGCGUGAGUGAAGAAGGUUUUCGGAUCGUAAAACUCUGUUGUUAGAGAAGAAACAAGGAUGAGAGUAACUGUUUCAUUCCCUGACGGUCAACGAAGCCGA